UUCUCAGCCUUUUGGUUAAGAUCAAGUGUAACCUUUCUUUUAUCAAUCUA
rnacentral:snRNA from 1 species